rnacentral:rRNA from 1 species
GUUGUAUGGUUAAGUGACUAAGCGUACAUGGUGGAUGCCUUGGCAGUCAGAGGCGAUGAAGGACGUACUAACCUGCGAUAAGCCGUGAGCAGUCGGUAAGAGACAUUACGACUCACGGAUUUCCGAAUGGGGAAACCCACUUAGCAUAAGCUAGGUAUCGCUGCGUGAAUACAUAGCGCAGCGAGGCGAACCGGGAGAACUGAAACAUCUAAGUACCCCGAGGAAAAGAAAUCAACCGAGAUUCCCUCAGUAGCGGCGAGCGAACGGGGAUUAGCCCUUAAGCAUCUUGGAAGUUAGUGGAACGGUCCUGGAAAGGCCGGCGAUACAGGGUGAUAGCCCCGUACACGAAAACAACCUUGAUGUGAAAUCGAGUAGGGCGGGACACGUGACAUCCUGUCUGAAUAUGGGGGGACCAUCCUCCAAGGCUAAAUACUCCUGACUGACCGAUAGUGAACCAGUACCGUGAGGGAAAGGCGAAAAGAACCCCUGUGAGGGGAGUGAAAUAGAACCUGAAACCGUGUACGUACAAGCAGUGGGAGCCCUUCGGGGUGACUGCGUACCUUUUGUAUAAUGGGUCAGCGACUUACAUUUUGUAGCGAGGUUAACCGUAUAGGGGAGCCGUAGGGAAACCGAGUCUUAACUGGGCGUCUAGUUGCAAGGUGUAGACCCGAAACCGGGUGAUCUAGCCAUGGGCAGGUUGAAGGUUGAGUAACAUCAACUGGAGGACCGAACCCACUAACGUUGCAAAGUUAGGGGAUGACCUGUGGCUGGGGGUGAAAGGCCAAUCAAACUCGGAGAUAGCUGGUUCUCCCCGAAAGCUAUUUAGGUAGCGCCUCGGACGAAUACUACUGGGGGUAGAGCACUGUUUGGGCUAGGGGGUCAUCCCGACUUACCAACCCCAUGCAAACUCCGAAUACCAGUAAGUAAUAUCCGGGAGACACACGGCGGGUGCUAACGUCCGUCGUGAAGAGGGAAACAACCCAGACCGCCGGCUAAGGUCCCAAAGUUCUGGUUAAGUGGGAAACGAUGUGGGAAGGCUCAGACAGCUAGGAUGUUGGCUUAGAAGCAGCCAUCAUUUAAAGAAAGCGUAAUAGCUCACUAGUCGAGUCGGCCUGCGCGGAAGAUGUAACGGGGCUCAAACCAGGCACCGAAGCCGCGGAUU